GGGUGGGUGUCUUCUUUCCUCCUCACUGCUCCAGAUUCAUCCUUCCUGAAGCUGCACCCUUGGUUGAAGAGGACACGCUUCCAAGUUAGAGGAGGAUUAUUUUUUCAUCAUGAGUAUAUCAACAGCUGCACUUUCCUGCUUUAGAAGCUCUACAUAGAUUCUCAGGGGGUUUGUGGGAAUCCAGUGAAAUGAACCGACAUGGACAGAUGGAGAUGGCAUUUAGCCACCUCUGUUCUGU
rnacentral:sRNA from 1 species